CUGCUCGCUUCAGCAGCACAUAUACUAAAAUUGGAACGAUACAGAGAAGAUUAGCAUGGCCCCCGCGCGAGAGGGGCACUAUUCAUUCUAGGCUGGUAGCAAAAUUUU
ensembl:snRNA U6 U6 spliceosomal RNA